GAUGAACGCUAGCGGCAGGCCUAACACAUGCAAGUCGAGGGAGAGGUUAUCUUCGGGUAACCAAAACCGGCGCACGGGUGCGUAACGCGUAUACAAUCUGCCUUUCACAUAGGGAUAGCCCGAAGAAAUUUGGAUUAAUACCUAAUGGUAUAUAAGAGCGGCAUCGUUUUUAUAUUAAAGCUACGGUGGUGAAAGAUGAGUAUGCGCUCUAUUAGCUAGUUGGAGAGGUAACGGCUCCCCAAGGCGACGAUAGAUAGGGGUUCUGAGAGGGAUGUCCCCCACACUGGUACUGAGAUACGGACCAGACUCCUACGGGAGGCAGCAGUGAGGAAUAUUGGACAAUGGUCGGAAGACUGAUCCAGCCAUGCCGCGUGCAGGAUGAAGGUCCUAUGGAUUGUAAACUGCUUUUGUAAGGGAAGAAUAAGGAGUACGUGUACUUUGAUGACGGUACCUUACGAAUAAGCAUCGGCUAACUCCGUGCCAGCAGCCGCGGUAAUACGGAGGAUGCGAGCGUUAUCCGGAAUCAUUGGGUUUAAAGGGUCCGUAGGCGGGCUGAUAAGUCAGAGGUGAAAGCGCUUAGCUCAACUAAGCAACUGCCUUUGAAACUGUCAGUCUUGAAUGAUUGUGAAGUAGUUGGAAUGUGUAGUGUAGCGGUGAAAUGCUUAAAUAUUACACAGAACACCGAUAGCGAAGGCAUAUUACUAACAAUUUAUUGACGCUGAUGGACGAAAGCGUGGGGAGCGAACAGG
rnacentral:rRNA from 1 species